GCUCGUAUAGUUUAGGUAAAACGGCAAAUUUUCUCUUUGCAGAUCCCCUUGUUGGGGUAUGAGUU
rnacentral:tRNA from 1 species